rnacentral:rRNA from 1 species
AUUCCCCUAGUAACGGCGAGUGAAGAGGGAAGAGCCCAAGUUUGAAAGCUGGCGCUUGUAUUCAGGCGUCCGCGUUGUAAACUCGAGAAGCGUUUUCCGCGCUGGACCAGAUUCAAGUCCCUUGGAAUAGGGCAUCAUAGAGGGUGAAAAUCCCGUGCUUGAUCUGGAAGCCCAGUGCUUUGUGAUACGCUCUCCAAGAGUCGAGUUGUUUGGGAAUGCAGCUCAAAAUGGGUGGUAAAUGCCAUCUAAGGCUAAAUAUCGAGGAGAGACCGAUAGCGAACAAGUACCGUGAGGGAAAGAUGAAAAGAACUUUGGAAAGAGAGUUAAACAGUACGUGAAAUUGCCGGAAGGGAAGGGUAGGAAGUCAGACAUGCUUGUGUGGAUUCAGCCUUGUCUUUGGACAUGGUGUAUUUCCGCAUAGGCAGGCCAGCAUCGGUUUGUGUCGCUGGAUAUAGGCUUUGGGGAUGUGGCUUUACCUUCGGGUAGAGUGUUAUAACCCAUUGCUGAGUACAGCGACGUGGACCGAGGAACGCAGCGCACCCUCUGGGCGGGCCUUCGGGCACCUUUGCGCUUAGGAUGCUGGCU